rnacentral:sRNA from 1 species
AAUCGAUAAACCCAAAAAUCGUCUUAUUGUUAGACACUUUAACACGAACUCGAUCGAAAUUUCCUCCACUUAAGCAAAGACUCGAACUUGAACAGAGCCUCAAUCGGAAUUGGGUUUAAGUUUCUUCGGAAUUUCUCUGCGUCUUCGAAAACGGAAUUCGUCGGAACUGUUCUGCGUUUCUCGAAGACAGUUUUUGAUUUUAUUUUAAGUUUUAAAAUUAUUUACUUACGUCUUUUGAAAUAAUUUUAAAUAUUUAAAAU